rnacentral:rRNA from 1 species
UUAAGCAUAUCAAUAAGCGGAGGAAAAGAAACCAACAGGGAUUGCCUCAGUAACGGCGAGUGAAGCGGCAACAGCUCAAAUUUGAAAUCUGGCUCUUUCGGGGUCCGAGUUGUAAUUUGUAGAGGAUGCUUUGGCGUUGGCCGUGGUCUAAGUUCCUUGGAACAGGACGUCACAGAGGGUGAGAAUCCCGUACGUGGCCGCCGGUCUUCGCCGUGUAAAGCUCCUUCGACGAGUCGAGUUGUUUGGGAAUGCAGCUCUAAAUGGGAGAUAAAUUUCUUCUAAAGCUAAAUAUUGGCCAGAGACCGAUAGCGCACAAGUAGAGUGAUCGAAAGAUGAAAAGCACUUUGGAAAGAGAGUCAAAAAGCACGUGAAAUUGUUGAAAGGGAAGCGCUUGCAGCCAGACGUGCCCGCAGUUGCUCACCUAGGCUCUCGCCUGGGGCAUUCUUCUGCGGGCAGGCCAGCAUCAGUUCGGGCGGUUGGAUAAAGGUCUCUAUCACGUAUCUUCCUUCGGGAAGACCUUAUAGGGGAGACGCAACACGGCCAGCCUGAACUGAGGACCGCGCAUUCGCUAGGAUGCUGGCGUAAUGGCUGUAAGCGGCCCGUCUUGAAACACGGACCAAGGAGUCUAACAUCUAUGCGAGUGUUUGGGUGUCAAGCCCGGACGCGCAAUGAAAGUGAACGGAGGUGGGAACCUUUCGGGGUGCACCAUCGACCGAUCCUGAAGUCUUCGGAUGGAUUUGAGUAAGAGCAUAGCUGUUGGGACCCGAAAGAUGGUGAACUAUGCCUGAAUAGGGUGAAGCCAGGGGAAACCCUGGUGGAGGCUCGCAGCGGUUCUGACGUGCAAAUCGAUCGUCAAAUUUGGGCAUAG